rnacentral:misc_RNA from 1 species
GAUGAAGAACGUAGCGAAAUGCGAUAAGUAGUGUGAAUUGCAGAAUGCAGUGAAUCAUCGAAUCUUUGAACGCACAUUGCGCCUCCUGGUAUUCCGGGAGGCAUGCCUGUUCGAGCGUCAUUAAAAUCACUCAAGCUUAGGUUUACCUAUUGCUUGGUCUUGGAGAUGGAAGCCAAUUCAUUGGAAUCCUCUUCGAAAUCCAAUGGCGAAGACCCUUGCUCUCCCAAGUGUAGUAAUAACUUAUGUCACUGAAGGAAGCGAGAAAUCUUCCGCCGUAACCCCCAUAUUUUCUAUGAUUGACCUCGGAUCAGGUAGGGAUACCCGCUGAACUUAAGCAUAUCAAUAAGCGGAGGA